CAAGCUAUGAAGGGCACAUGGUGGAUGCCUUGGCAUCAAGAGCCGAUGAAGGACGUAGGAGCCUGCGAUAAGCCCUGGGGAGUUGGCAACCAAGCUGUGAUCCGGGGGUGUCCGAAUGGGGAAACCCAGCUGGAGUCAUGUCCAGUUACCCGCGCCUGAAUAUAUAGGGUGUGUGGAGGGAACGUGGGGAAGUGAAACAUCUCAGUACCCACAGGAAGAGAAAACAAUAGUGAUUCCGAGAGUAGUGGCGAGCGAAAUCGGAUGAGGCCAAACCACGUACAUGUGAUACCCGGCAGGGGUUGUGUAUGUGGGGUUGUGGGAUCGCAUGGGUGGGUCUGCCGGCCUACCACACAGUAAGAAAUCGUCUGUGAAGUUGAAGUCCGCUGGAAAGUGGCGCCGUAGAGGGUGAUAGCCCCGUAAGUGUAAGCAGUCGACUGUGAUGCGACAUCCCAAGUAACACGGAACCCCUGAAAUUCCGUGUGAAUCUGGCGGGACCACCCGUUAAGCCUAAAUACUCCUUGAUGACCGAUAGCGGACAAGUACCGUGAGGGAAAGGUGAAAAGUACCCCUGGCGGGGAGUGAAAUAGUACCUGAAACCGUGUGCCUACAAUCCGUCGGAGCCUUACUCAUCCUUGUGGUGAUGGGGUGACGGCGUGCCUUUUGAAGAAUGAGCCUGCGAGUUUGCGUUGUGUUGCGAGGUUAACCCGUGUGGGGAAGCCGUAGCGAAAGCGAGUCCGAAUAGGGCGUCUGAGUAGCACGAUCAAGACCCGAAGCGAAGUGAUCUAUCCAUGGGCAGGUUGAAGCGCGGGUAAGACCGCGUGGAGGACCGAACCCACUUAGGUUGAAAACUGAGGGGAUGACCUGUGGAUAGGGGUGAAAGGCCAAUCAAACUUCGUGAUAGCUGGUUCUCCCCGAAAUGCAUUUAGGUGCAGCGUUGCGUGUUUCUUGCCGGAGGUAGAGCACUGGAUAGCCGAUGGGCCCGACCAGGUUACUGACGUUAACCAAACUCCGAAUGCCGGUAAGUGAGAGCGCAGCAGUGAGACUGCGGGGGAUAAGCUCCGUAGUCGAGAGGGAAACAGCCCAGACCAUCAGCUAAGGCCCCUAAGCGGUGACUAAGUGGAAAAGGAUGUGGAGUCGCACUGACAACCAGGAGGUUGGCUUGGAAGCAGCCACCCUUGAAAGAGUGCGUAAUAGCUCACUGGUCAAGUGAUUCCGCGCCGACAAUGUAGCGGGGCUCAAGUCAUCCGCCGAAGCUAUGGCAUUCACAUAAGCCCAGCACCCACUUGAUGGGUGUUCAGGUGUGUGGAUGGGUAGGGGAGCGUCGUGUCGCGAGUGAAGCGCCGGAGUGAUCCAGGUGUGGAUGCGACACGAGUGAGAAUGCAGGCAUGAGUAGCGAAUCACGUGUGAGAAACACGUGCGCCGAAUGAUCAAGGGUUCCAGGGUCAAGCUAAUCUGCCCUGGGUAAGUCGGGACCUAAGGCGAGGCCGACAGGCGUAGUCGAUGGACAACGGGUUGAUAUUCCCGUACCGGCAAAGUAGCGCCCAUGACGAACCCGGUGAUGCUAACCAUCUGAAACUCAGCCGANNNNNNNNNNNNNNNNNNNNNNNNNNNNNNNNNNNNNNNNNNNNNNNNNNNNNNNNNNNNNNNNNNNNNNNNNNNNNNNNNNNNNNNNNNNNNNNNCGACCGGACCCUUCGGGGCGAGGCGGUUGAGCGUAGCGUGGGACCCGAACUGGUAGUAGUCAAGCGAUGGGGUGACGCAGGAAGGUAGUCCAACCGUACCGAUGGUUGUGUACGGCUAAGCAUGUAGGGCGAGAUCUAGGCAAAUCCGGAUCUCUGACUUCGAUGUCGGGCUUGAGAUGUGAUGGGGACCCCGUUGGGGGGAAGUGGAUGAUCCUAUGCUGUCGAGAAAAACCUCUAGCGAGCUAUGCGCCGCCCGUACCCCAAACCGACUCAGGUGAUCAGGUAGAGAAUACUAAGGCGAUCGAGCGAACCACGGUUAAGGAACUCGGCAAAAUGCCCCCGUAACUUCGGGAGAAGGGGGGCCCGGAACGUGAACACCCUUGCGGUGGGAGCGGGAAGGGCCGCAGAGACCAGGCCCAAGCGACUGUUUACUAAAAACACAGGUCCGUGCGAAGUUGUAAGACGAUGUAUACGGACUGACUCCUGCCCGGUGCUGGAAGGUUAAGAGGACCUGUUAGGUAGCAAUACCGAAGCGGAGAAUUUAAGCCCCAGUAAACGGCGGUGGUAACUAUAACCAUCCUAAGGUAGCGAAAUUCCUUGUCGGGUAAGUUCCGACCUGCACGAAUGGAGUAACGACUUGGGCGCUGUCUCAACCGUGGACUCGGCGAAAUUGCACUACGAGUAAAGAUGCUCGUUACGCGCGGCAGGACGGAAAGACCCCGGGACCUUUACUAUAGUUUGGUAUUGGUGUUUGGUUCGGCUUGUGUAGGAUAGGUGGGAGACUGUGAAGCAUUCACGCCAGUGAGUGUGGAGUCAUCGUUGAAAUACCACUCUGGUCGUACUAGAUGUCUAACCUAGGUCCGUUAUCCGGAUCAGGGACAGUGCCUGAUGGGUAGUUUAACUGGGGCGGUUGCCUCCUAAAGAGUAACGGAGGCGCUCAAAGGUUCCCUCAGCCUGGUUGGCAAUCAGGUGGCGAGUGUAAGUGCACAAGGGAGCUUGACUGUGAGACAGACAUGUCGAGCAGGGACGAAAGUCGGAACUAGUGAUCCGGCGUCGGCAUGUGGAAGCGACGUCGCUCAACGGAUAAAAGGUACCCCGGGGAUAACAGGCUGAUCUUCCCCAAGAGUCCAUAUCGACGGGAUGGUUUGGCACCUCGAUGUCGGCUCGUCGCAUCCUGGGGCUGGAGUAGGUCCCAAGGGUUGGGCUGUUCGCCCAUUAAAGCGGCACGCGAGCUGGGUUUAGAACGUCGUGAGACAGUUCGGUCCCUAUCCGCCGCGCGCGCAGGAAACUUGAGAAAGGCUGUCCCUAGUACGAGAGGACCGGGAUGGACGAACCUCUGGUGUGCCAGUUGUCCCGCCAGGGGCACGGCUGGUUAGCUACGUUCGGAAGUGAUAACCGCUGAAUGCAUCUAAGCGGGAAGCACGUUUCAAGAUGAGGUUUCCCACCGGGUCAACCGGGUAAGGCCCCCAGCAGAACACUGGGUUGAUAGGCCGGAGGUGUACAGCAGCAAUGCCUAGCCGACCGGUACUAAUAGGCCGAGGGCUUGUC
rnacentral:rRNA from 1 species